GUGGUUGUGGCUCAGUGGUAGAGUACUCGCCUAGAAUGUGCAAGGCGCUGGGUUCAUUCCUCAGCACCACA
rnacentral:tRNA from 1 species